GACGAACGCUGGCGGCGUGCUUAACACAUGCAAGUCGAACGGAAAGGCCCUGCUUGCAGGGUACUCGAGUGGCGAACGGGUGAGUAACACGUGGGUGAUCUGCCCUGCACUUCGGGAUAAGCCUGGGAAACUGGGUCUAAUACCGGAUAUGACCUUCCAUGUAGUGUGGGGGGUGGAAAGAUUUAUCGGUGUGGGAUGAGCCCGCGGCCUAUCAGCUUGUUGGUGGGGUAAUGGCCUACCAAGGCGUCGACGGGUAGCCGGCCUGAGAGGGUGGACGGCCACAUUGGGACUGAGAUACGGCCCAGACUCCUACGGGAGGCAGCAGUGGGGAAUAGUGCACAAUGGGCGGAAGCCUUAUGCAGCGACGCCGCGUGGGGGAUGACGGCCUUCGGGUUGUAAACCUCUUUCGACAGGGACGAAGCUUCGGUGACGGUACCUGUAGAAGAAGCACCGGCUAACUACGUG
rnacentral:rRNA from 1 species